GAUGAUCUUUGCGGCGGCGAUGACGGUGAUGGCUUUGCUUUUGGUUCCGACUAUUGAAGCACAAACUGAGUGCGUGAGCAAGCUAGUCCCUUGCUUCAACGACCUGAACACGACAACAACGCCGGUGAAAGAAUGUUGCGACUCGAUUAAAGAAGCGGUGGAGAAGGAACUUACAUGUCUCUGUACAAUCUACACCAGUCCAGGUUUGCUCGCUCAGUUCAACGUCACCACUGAGAAAGCUCUCGGUCUUAGCCGUCGUUGCAACGUCACCAC
rnacentral:lncRNA from 1 species